AAAAAAAUCUUAUAAUAAAUAAUUAGAAACAUAACCUUUGAAAAUCUUUUUGAAACAAAAUGGAAGGAGAUGAGUGAGAGCUGGCUGCUGGAAGAAAAUACUUUGCAAUGGCCGAUGGAAAUGGAGAAGAUUGGUAUAGAUGGAGAGGUGGAGAAAAUGUUGGAGCUCAAUAGCCAUCAUUCUCUGCGUCUUCUCAGGUCAAUGCGCGGCGGACGAGGUGGCAGGUGCAGUGGCGCGUGUCAGAUGUUGGCGGGACUUCACGACGGCGCGUCAGGAAGCGGAAAGUUUAAGAAAUUGAACGACAUAAUCAACCUGCUGGAAAUUAGCAGUGGAAAAUAAAGGGUUGGCAUUUGCAAAUCGUGCCAAUGAAAAGGGGUUUUGUUUAGUUACUCUCCAUUAAUUUAUGGCCAGUUUACCAGAUAAAUACACUAUAUCAAAUAGGUGAGUAACUGAGUAUGUUGAGUACAGAAUAUCAAAUACAUGUGCAUUUGAUAGGUAUGCUAAAUCCAACUACUUGGUUUCUGCCUAAGGAGAAGUUUAGUUUACCCGAUGCUUUUACAUAUAUAAAAUACGUCUUCUUCAUGAAAGAAGACAAAGUUGUAUUGUAUCUACAUCAGAAUUUCGAAUUGUGCUGAUAAAAAGGAUGAGUCGAUGACUACCUGUUUUGCCAGACUGUUUGGGGGGGUAGAAACCUAUUGCUUUUCAACCCAAAAUUCUUUGUUAUCAACAAGUAAACUUAACCAGGUGCACUUGCCUACAUGAGGAGUGGAUGAACAACGAUGGAGAAGUAUCCUUGAUAAGAUGGCAAAUAUUGGCAAGUAUCUUACCAAAUCAACUUAUACUAGGAAAGGAAGAAACUGAGAAGUUUUUAUUCUUGAACGCAGAUUGUAUAGGAUCCUUCGCUAUUAUUAGUGUUUUACACCCCCUGUCCCCCUAGAAAAAAAAAAGAACCAAGGAAGUUUUGUAAUGAAUAGAUUAAAUUAGUUCUUUUGUUUGCUUUCUGGUAUUCUGUUAUUAACUUCA